rnacentral:rRNA from 1 species
GAGUCUGAUCCUGGCUCAAAACGAACGCUGGCGGCGUGCCUAACACAUGCAAGUCGAGCGAGAAAGUUCCCUUCGGGGAGCGAGUACAGCGGCGAACGGGUGAGUAACACGUGAGUAAUCUGCCCUUGGGUCCGGGAUAACAUCUCGAAAGGGGUGCUAAUACCGGAUAGGACCACGGAGCCACAUGGCUCUGAGGUGAAAGAUGGCCUCUCCUUGGAAGCUGUCGCCUAUGGAUGGGCUCGCGCACCAUUAGCUUGUUGGUGGGGUCAUGGCCUACCAAGGCGACGAUGGUUAGCCGACCUGAGAGGGUGAUCGGCCACACUGGAACUGAGACACGGUCCAGACUCCUACGGGAGGCAGCAGUGGGGAAUAUUGCGCAAUGGGGGAAACCCUGACGCAGCAACGCCGCGUGAGCGAUGAAGGCCUUCGGGUUGUAAAGCUCUGUCAGGAGGGACGAAAUGCUCCGGUCGAAUACACCGGAGAGCUGACGGUACCUCCAAAGGAAGCCCCGGCUAACUCCGUGCCAGCAGCCGCGGUAAUACGGAGGGGGCGAGCGUUGUUCGGAAUUAUUGGGCGUAAAGAGCACGUAGGCGGCGCGGUAAGUCCAUUGUGAAAGCCCUCGGCUCAACCGAGGAAGUGCAGUGGAUACUGCCGUGCUUGAGUGCGGGAGAGGGGAGUGGAAUUCCCGGUGAAGCGGUGAAAUGCGUAGAUAUCGGGAAGAACACCGGUGGCGAAAGCGGCUCUCUGGACCGUCACUGACGCUGAGGUGCGAAAGCUGGGGGAGCGAACGGGAUUAGAUACCCUGGUAGUC